rnacentral:rRNA from 1 species
GACGAACGCUGGCGGCGUGCUUAACACAUGCAAGUCGAACGCUGAAGCUCAGCUUUUGUUGGGUGGAUGAGUGGCGAACGGGUGAGUAACACGUGAGUAACCUGCCUCCUUCUUUGGGAUAACGCCCGGAAACGGGUGCUAAUACUGGAUAUUCACUGGUCUUCGCAUGGGGGUUGGUGGAAAGGGUUUUUCUGGUGGGGGAUGGGCUCGCGGCCUAUCAGCUUGUUGGUGGGGUGAUGGCCUACCAAGGCUUUGACGGGUAGCCGGCCUGAGGGGGUGACCGGGCACAAUGGGAAUGGGAUACGGCCCAAGAUCCUACCGGAGGCAGCAGUGGGGAAUAUUGCACAAUGGGCGCAAGCCUGAUGCAGCGACGCCGCGUGAGGGAUGGAGGCCUUCGGGUUGUGAACCUCUUUCGCUCAUGGUCAAGCCGCAACAAUGGUUGUGGUGAGGGUAGUGGGUAAAGAAGCGCCGGCUAACUACGUG